GGGAGUUGCAAGCUGAAAGCAACCAGAGGAGCUCAGAGGUGUUGCUCCUGGAUGCAGCUCCUGGGCUCUGAGCUGACAAAGGCAAGUUCUUGCUCAUGGAAAGGUGGGGCAGAGGACAGGGAUACUGCUCAGGGGUAAUUCUGAGUGGCUUAGAGGAGACUAUGCCGGCUGGGAACCAAACAGUACCUGCCUCGGAGCAAGCAUUUAGUGGGCAGAAAACGGUGAGGAUGCUGAAUUCGGAUAGCAGCGAGCUCACAAGGGCAGCAGGCUUUGCAACACCUCGCUGGAUGUCACCAGAUGUCACCAGAUGUCACCAGACAGAUGCACAAGGCUGGGCAUGGCACAGGGCAGUGCCUGUCAUCAAGGCAGAGCAGAGUGGAGAAGCUCCUCUCCCACACUGCCCGGCAUGCUGCUGGUCUCACUAUGUUGUCCAGGCUGGUCUUCAGGUUCUGGACUCAAGCCAUCCUCCUGCCUCAGGCCUUCAAGUGGCUGGGACUAUAGAUAUGGCACCGCUGCUUCUGACUCCCAAGGAAUUUCUUCAUCAGCAAUAAAGAAAAGAAGAUUCGAGAUGUAAGAAAAUAAUUAUUAUAAAUAUGGAUGAACAAACAUGUCUGAAAGUGCAUAUGAGACGCCCUGGAGUUACACAGGCUCAGAAUCUGGCCUUGGCUGUACAGAACCUCAAAUUCUAAUGCUAGGUCAAAAAAAAAAAAAAAAAGUAUAAACUGUGAAUAUUCUGCAUAGGCUCCCACCUCAUUGAUAUGUCUGUCUCAAAACUGUUUAUGGUUAACAUUAAUUAAACUACAGUAUCUAUACAUUUGAAAUGGACUGGUAAUCAAACAUAGAUGAAAUCAUGUUAUAAAGAGACAAAAUGAGAGUAUUAGACAUAAAUAAAACUUAAAUGAAAGCAUGGGCUUGGCAUUUAGCUCAGUGGUUUUGCCACCUGCCUUGCAAGUGCAAGGUCCCGAGUUCGAUCCCCAGUACCAAAAAAAAUGUUAAAUGAAAACAGAUUCAUACAAGGGAAGGAACUUUUCAUCUAACUUGAUUUUGUCUCUGUACUCUGGUUUUCAGGAAUAUAUGAGGCAACAG
rnacentral:lncRNA from 1 species